rnacentral:rRNA from 2 species
AACUUGUGCCAGCAGUCGCGGUAAGACAAGGGAGACUAGCGUUUUUCAUCUUUAUUAGGUUUAAAGGGUACCUAGACGGUUUAUCUAGCCUCAAAAAAUGGAACAGAUUAAACUAGAGUUAAACAUGGGAGGUAUAUUUAGUAUUGAAAGAGAAGAGAUGAAAUUUUUUUAUACUUUCAAGACUGAUAAUGGUGAAAACAAUCCUCUAUCUAAUAACUGACGUUGAGGGACGAAGGCAUGGUUAUCGAAUAGGAUUAGAUACCCUAAUAGUCCAUGCAGAAAAUGAUGAGUGUCAUAAAUAUCAAGGCUAAUAACAAGCAAAGUGUUAAAUUAGUUUGAUGUUUAUAAAUGAAAGUGUAAGCAUUCCACCUCAAGAGUACUACGGCAACGUAUAAACUGAAAUCAUUAGACCGUUUCUGAAACCAGUAGUGAAGUAUGUUAUUUAAUUCGAUGAUCCGCGAAAAACCUUACCUCAAUUUGAAUUGAGAGAGUCUCACUCUACUCAAACAAGCGUUGCACGGCUGUCUUCAGUUAAUGUCGUGAGAUCUGGUUAACCCCUUUAA